CAUCAUUAUACAUCAGCUGACUUUGACAGCUGGGCACUCUGGCGGUAUUGCGCAACACUAGCAAGAAAGCAUGGUCUCAAAUGUGUUAAUAGCCGUUUGUGUUCUUGUCAACUUGGCAAGAACCUUCUCCCAAGAACAAGUCGCAAGUAUAUUCUCCCAAGGCCACAAGAAUGUUCUUCGCGUUCUUGUGUAUUGAGAUUCGACCAAAAUCUGAAGCUCCGGGUCAUGGUUUACAACCGAGGUCAGGAAACAGUUUACCUGUCACUCUUAGUAAAACAUACUCAGCACACACAGGAGACAAAUACUGCUGUCCUCAGAGCAGGCACACUCAGAUUCGUGAAAUACACUGAAAUAAUCAAACUAACCAGCUCACUUCAGAGAGGUAAUCUUAUAAACAUCAUGAUACAUCCCCUCAAAAGAAAGGACAGGUCUGGUGAUAGGAUGGUAAGAUGCAAAAUUAUUUAAAGAAAUUUUCAAUGAUGUAAAAAGAAGAAAAUAAGAGCAGAGCACCAAUGCAAACCCCUCACACACCCCACAUUCUGGCAGAGCUGACACAGAUUGUAUGGAGCUGCUGUCCUGCUGGUUACAGGAUAAACAGCUGAUGAUUCAGGGGGGCAUGGGGGGCCAUAGCCCUCCCUUUUCAGAUGGAGUUGUUAGCACAGACCCUGUCGGGGCCUGAGACCUGAUCUGAGCUCCUGCUGCAGAGGUGUUUUAAUAAUCAGGAUCAUUUUUGGGAUCAGACGUCAGACAGACACUCAGAUUCUCUCUGAAACAACCACACACUGUUUCACAGAGCCCAGAAAAAUCAGAUUUUUAAGCAGACCACACACACUCACACACAAAUACACACACACACACACACACACACACACACACACACACACACACACACACACACACACACACACACACACCUAACAAUACAAAACAACACUGAGCUCUGACAUCUAAACAAGGCAAUACAAACACACUAAAUCCAACAGGUCACCUUACAGUGCAAAAAAUCAUCCAUCUGGGUUCAACUCACAUGAGCUUUAUGAGGUAAAUGUUUCAUAUCAGGACCUCCUGACAUAAAGCCCCCCUUACAUAAAGACCUUCUAACAUAAAAACCUCUAUAAAUCUCACAGUGUUAUAGACCCUGAAGAUUCAAAGUUUUCAAAGGAUCUUUUCAUACAUAUUUCAGGAUGUGGCUGAAUCUCACCACAUAACAGGGAGUUCAUUAUUGUGUGUGUGUGUGUGUGUGUGUGUGUGUGUGUGUGUGUGUGUGUGUGUGUGUGUGUGUGUGUGUGUGUGUUAACAGAGGGUCAGGAGUGUGUGUGAGAGUUUCAGCGAUUCAGACGUUCACCAGGUGCACUCAGGUGGCUAUAUUGUCUGAUGAAGGUAAAAACAGGAAAAUCCUGCAUCAUCUGGCACCUCUUAAACUUUAUUAUCUGAAUUCCACCAUCUGCCACUGCACAUGCUGAGGAAUCCUUGAUCUGAAGCUAGAUUUCUUUAGGGACAAGGACGAAGGGACGUCGAGAACAAUGGAAUAGAUAAUAAGGAGACACUAAGGAGGCAAGGAUGAGAAGAUAAUGACAAGGAGACACUCACAGACCAAACACUGUUUUUAUCCGUUAAUGUAUUGAUGGAUGAGGCUUUUGAAUGAUGUGGUAAUUUACAUGGGAUAUUCAUUAUGUUAGGGUUAGGGUCUAUUUAUAUAUUCACAUAUUUAGAAAUUCCUCUCACCUCUGCACUUACUGUGAUUUUUUGUGAA